GAUGAACGCUAGCUACAGGCUUAACACAUGCAAGUCGAGGGGAAACGAUAUUGGAAGCUUGCUUCCGAUAGGCGUCGACCGGCGCACGGGUGAGUAACGCGUAUCCAACCUACCCAUCACUUGGGGAUAACCUUGCGAAAGUAAGACUAAUACCCAAUGACGUCUCUAGAAGACAUCUGAAAGAGAUUAAAGAUUUAUCGGUGAUGGAUGGGGAUGCGUCUGAUUAGCUUGUUGGCGGGGUAACGGCCCACCAAGGCGACGAUCAGUAGGGGUUCUGAGAGGAAGGUCCCCCACAUUGGAACUGGGACACGGUCCAAACUCCUACGGGAGGCAGCAGUGAGGAAUAUUGGUCAAUGGGCGAGAGCCUGAACCAGCCAAGUAGCGUGCAGGAAGACGGCCCUAUGGGUUGUAAACUGCUUUUAUAAGGGAAUAAAGUGGGAGUCGUGACUCCUUUUGCAUGUACCUUAUGAAUAAGGACCGGCUAAUUCCGUGCCAGCAGCCGCCGUAA
rnacentral:rRNA from 1 species